CAUGGCUGUCGUCAGCUCGUGUCGUGAGGUGUUCGGUUAAGUCCGCUAACGAGCGCAACCCUCGCUGUGUGUUAUAUGUGUCACGACAGGGACUGGCUGGGUAUUUAAGCCGGAGGAAGUGGGACGACGUCAAGUCAGCAUGGCCUUUAUAUCCUGGGCUACACACACGCUACAAUGGGAAGGGACAAUAGGUUGCGAAGCCGCGAGGCGGAGCCAAUCCAGCAAAACUUCCCUCAGUUCAGAUUGCAGGCUGCAACCCGCCUGCAUGAAGUUGGAGUUGCUAGUAAACGCAGGUCAGCCAUACUGCGUUGAAUACGUUCCCGGGGCUU
rnacentral:rRNA from 1 species